AACGCACCUUGCACUCCCUGGUAUUCCGGGGAGUAUGUCUGUUUGAGUGUCAUGAACUCUUCAACCUAUCUAUUCUUUGAAUAGUGUAGUGCUUGGAUUUUGAGUGUUGCUGGCUUUGGUCAGCUCACUUGUAAUACAUUAGCAUCUCUUAAUUGAGAAUUGGAUCGACUCAGUGUAAUAGACUAUUCGCUGAGGACACUAGUCUCUAGUGGCCAUUUCUCAAUUGUCAUAGAAGCUUCUAACUCAUAGUAGUCAACUUCUUAAUUUAGACCUCAGAUCAGAUAGGAUUACCCGCUGAACUUAA
rnacentral:rRNA from 1 species